UUCAGUAAGCUCGUAGUUGGAUUUGUGGUGUAUGCAGGCGGCCCGGCACAAUGUGCUGGAGCUUGCCUGCGUCGCCAUCCUUGGGUGGAUCCUGUGUGGCAUUAAGUUGUCGUGCAGGGGAUGCCCAUCGUUUACUGUGAAAAAAUUAGAGUGUUCAAAGCAGGCUUACGCCGUUGAAUAUAUUAGCAUGGAAUAAUAAGAUAGGACCUUGGUACUAUUUUGUUGGUUUGCGCACCAAGGUAAUGAUUAAUAGGGACAGUUGGGGGUAUUCGUAUUUCAUUGUCAGAGGUGAAAUUCUUGGAUUUUUGAAAGACGAACUACUGCGAAAGCAUUUACCAAGGAUGUUUUCAUUAAUCAAGAACGAAAGUUAGGGGAUCGAAGAUGAUUAGAUACAAUUCGGUAGUCA
rnacentral:rRNA from 1 species